UACGUAGGGUGCAAGCGUUAAUCGGAAUUACUGGGCGUAAAGCGUGCGCAGGCGGUGAUGUAAGUCAGAUGUGAAAUCCCCGGGCUCAACCUGGGAACUGCAUUUGUGACUGCAUGGCUGGAGUGCGGCAGAGGGGGAUGGAAUUCCGCGUGUAGCAGUGAAAUGCGUAGAUAUGCGGAGGAACACCGAUGGCGAAGGCAAUCCCCUGGGCCUGCACUGACGCUCAUGCACGAAAGCGUGGGGAGCAAACAGG
rnacentral:rRNA from 1 species